rnacentral:rRNA from 1 species
AACGAACGCUGGCGGCAGGCUUAACACAUGCAAGUCGAGCGCCCCGCAAGGGGAGCGGCAGACGGGUGAGUAACGCGUGGGAAUCUACCGUACCCUACGGAAUAGCUCCGGGAAACUGGAAUUAAUACCGUAUACGCCCUACGGGGGAAAGAUUUAUCGGGGUAUGAUGAGCCCGCGUUGGAUUAGCUAGUUGGUGGGUAAAGGCCUACCAAGGCGACGAUCCAUAGCUGGUCUGAGAGGAUGAUCAGCCACAUUGGGACUGAGACACGGCCCAAACUCAUACGGGAGGCAGCAGUGGGCAAUAUUGGACAAUGGGCGCAAGUCUGAUCCAGCCAUGCCGCGUGAGUGAUGGAGGUCUUAGGAUUGUAAAGCUCUUUCACCGAUGAAGAUCAUGACGGUAGUCGGAGAGGAAGCCCCGGCUAACUUCGUGCCAGCCGCCGCCGUAA